rnacentral:rRNA from 1 species
CCUACGGGAGGCAGCAGUGAGGAAUAUUGGUCAAUGGACGAGAGUCUGAACCAGCCAAGUAGCGUGAAGGACGAUUGCCCUAUGGGUUGUAAACUUCUUUUAUAAAGGAAUAAAACGAGGCACGUGUGCCUUUUUGCAUGUACUUUAUGAAUAAGGAUCGGCUAACUCCGUGCCAGCAGCCGCGGUAAUACGGAGGUUCAGAGCGUUAUCCGGGUUUAUUGGGUUUAAAGGGAGCGUAGAUGGGUUGUUAAGUCAGUUGUGAAAGUUUGCGGCUCAACCGUUAAAUUGCAAUUGAUACUGGCAGUCUUGAGUACAGUUGAGGUAGGCGGAAUGCGUGGUGUAGCGGUGAAAUGCUUAGAUAUCACGAAGAACCCCGAUUGCGAAGGCAGCUUACGAAACUGUGACUGACAUUGAUGCUCGAAAGUGUGGGUAUCAAACAGGAUUAGAUACCCCAGUAGUC